rnacentral:lncRNA from 1 species
UUGAGUAUUCACAUGCGCAUCAUGAUUGUUAAUUUUAAAGUUUUAGGCGAUUUUUUAUAUGAAAAAUCAAUAAAUUAUUUAGAAAUUCCACUAAUAUUUACAUUAAUAUUUACAUUUACAGAAUACAACUCUACUUUUUUCAUGGUAGACUAAGAGGUUAAUAAAGUAGUGACGUGCAUGAUGUGAAAUUAAUAGUAACUUUCUGUUUUCCUUUUCAAGAUUACAUAAUGGUAGACAAAUGGACAACAGAUGAUGUCUGCAAUUGGCUCCAAACCAUCAACCUGAUUGAUUCCAAAGAAGUCUUCAGAGAGCAAGAGAUUGAUGGAGAAACCCUGUUGGGCUUAACAGAAAGGAUGGUGCAGAAACUAUUCCCCACAAUGAAACAGCAAGUGAUCUUUUUAAAGGAACUUGAAAGACUGAAGAGAUCGUCUUCAAUGGAACAAGAAACUGGUGUGGAAACCUCUUCGGAGAUUCAAAUGCAUCACACUCAGCAAAAGUGCUGUGAGCCGUGGCCUGCAGUUUUUAGCCUCCCUGAUUUUCCACCAGAAUGAUUUUCCACCAGAACUUAAUGAAUCAUUACAGAGGAAGGAUCCAUCUUUCAAGAAAAAGGAAAAAUCACAUCUGCGAUCACUGCUAAUUCAAGUGUUGUUUGAUAGCAUCACAAAGUACACAUGGUAUCCAAGCCACAAGAUAUACACGGAUGUUCUUGGAAGUCUGAUCAAAAGAUUUCCUUUCCUGAAGGAUACUAGCCCCUCUGGUCAUGAUACCCUUCUGCAUUGUCUGCGUAACAAAUUUAAAAAAGAGAGAAUUCCUUUAGUGCAUUCAUCAGCAGUUCAAGAGAUGAAGAAGAAAUUUGGUGUUAAAAGGAAUGCACUGGAUAUCUCAGUCUCUGAUGGCCUUGUCUCUGAAGAGGAGCAAACAAAAAGAUGCAAGACUGCAAACUUUCCAGUACUCCUGUGUACUGAUAAUCCGGUUUCCACCCAGUCCCAGGAGAUUAUAUUAAACCUGGAAAAUAUUGGAGAAGAUCAAUUAAGUUUUCAGGAGCACAUUACUGUGAUAAAUGCUGAACUACGUAAAAGAUAA